GUGGGGAAUAUUGGACAAUGGGCGCAAGCCUGAUCCAGCCAUGCCGCGUGAGUGAUGAAGGCCUUAGGGUCGUAACGCUCUGUUGCAUGGGAAGAAAAAAAUGACGGUACCAUUCGAGGAAGGACCGGCUAACUUCGUGCCAGCAGCCGCGGUAAUACGUGCGGUCCUAGCGUUGUUCGGAAUCAUUGGGCGUAAAGGGUGCGUAGGUGGCCAUGUAAGUCAGGUGUGAAAGCCCCGGGCUCAACCCGGGAAGUGCACUUGAUACUGCGUGGCUUGAGUACCGAAGAGGGUAGUGGAAAUCCAGGUGUAGUGGUGAAAUACGUAGAUAUCUGGAGGAACACCGGUGGCGAAGGCGGCUACCUGGUCGAGUACUGACACUGAGACACGAAAGCAUGGGGAUCAAACAGGAUUAGAUACCCGUGUAGUCC
rnacentral:rRNA from 1 species